rnacentral:misc_RNA from 1 species
AAGUCGUAACAAGGUCUCCGUUGGUGAACCAGCGGAGGGAUCAUUAUAGAGUUUUCUAAACUCCCAACCCAUGUGAACUUACCUUUUGUUGCCUCGGCAGAAGUUAUAGGACUUCUUAUAGCUGCUGCCGGUGGACCACUAAACUCUUGUUAUUUUAUGUAAUCUGAGCGUCUUAUUUUAAUAAGUCAAAACUUUCAACAACGGAUCUCUUGGUUCUG